UCCCGUGUGGCUCAGUUGGUAGAGCAUGGUGUUUGCAACGCCAUGGUUGUGGGUUCGAUUCCCACAGGGGAC
rnacentral:tRNA from 1 species